rnacentral:rRNA from 1 species
CGUGUAGGCGGGAUUGCAAGUCAGACGUGAAACUAUGAGCUCAACUCAUAGCCUGCGUUUGAAACUGUAGUUCUUGAGUGUCGGAGAGGUAAUCGGAAUUCCGUGUGUAGCGGUGAAAUGCGUAGAUAUACGGAGGAACACCAGUGGCGAAGGCGGAUUACUGGACGAUAACUGACGCUGAGGCGCGAAAGCGUGGGGAGCAAACA